CGCUACCUAAAACAUUGUCACCACAUCCAGCUAGAGCGAAAGCUGAAUUCGCCAUCAGCAUCCUUCUAUCAUCCUUAAACCACCGCCGCCUCAAUAACCGAGAACCUCACCGUCAAGCAUCUCCAACCCCAAAUUGAUUACUAACAACCUCCAAUAUCCAUCGGAAAACCCACUUGCACCAUCGAUUUUCACUGCCACCAUUUCAGUCGACCAUUUUACCCUUCAAAAGAACCACGCUUUAUGGCCAACAACUAAUCCUUCAACCGUGAAACACAACCUCCUUCUUAACCAACCCUUCAUCUGCUAAAAACCCAAAAACAUGUUACUUGACCUGCCAUCAAAUCUCCACCAGCUGUAUUACCCAGUCAAGAAUCGAACCAAAGAAAAAAGGAGAAAAGAAGAGGCAUGUUCUAGCUUUUGUUUCUUUUGCUGCACACGUGAGGACACAAGUAAGGCUACGGCACAUGAAUUAUUAGAUUUUAAUGGGGGCUAAACAAUUUAAUUUGAGUUUAUUUUCAUGGGCUAAACAAUUUAAUCGGGCUAACUAAAUCAUUUAAUUAUUGUAAUUUUAAUUCGAUUCUGUUGUCUUGCUUUCUAAUCCAUAUUUAAUUAAUAUUAAUGAAUUUACAAUUGUUUAUCUGCUAGAUUUUAAAAUGGGUGUGUUUAUAAUGGUAUAAAUAUAACAAUUAUAUACAUUUUCAAGGAAAAAUAACAAGAACCACAAGUCCUAAGGCUUAUAUAUAUAUAUAUAUAUAAAGCUUGCAUUUUUUCUUGAACCACAUUUAUUUGAAACUCCCAUGUAUUUUUUCCUUUCAUCACAUUCAUUUGAAACUCCCAUGCCUUUCCAAUUUAUUUCUAAUAAUUAUUAUAAGUUGGUUAAUAAGGUUAAAUAAAUAUCAAACCUAAAGUGUAAUCAUAUAUAAACUAAAUUUCAAUAUUAAAAAAAUAUAUUUACUUCUACUUAUAAAGUUUGUUUUUAACUUUUAACAUAUUAUACUCAAUUUAUUAGGUUUAAUAUGUUAUAUGUAAAACAUUAUCAUUUUAAAACUAUAAUUUUUAAUCAAUUUGUAUAAAAUACUUAAAUUGUUAAUUUAAAUAUAACCCUACAGGAUCAAAUAUAAAAUUUAGUUCAACUUAAACAACCCAAAGAUUAUUUUGUAAAUAGUGAAAAGUGAUAAAUUAUAGUGUCUUUCUAAUAAUGAAUAUAAAUUGGUUAAUAAUGUUAAAUAAGUAUCAAACCUAAAGUGUAAUAAAAAAUAAAUUAAAUUUCAAUAUUAAAAUAAUAUUUUUACUUCUACAUAAAGUUAUGUCUUUAACUUUUAACAUAUUAUACUUAAUUUAUUAGAUUUAUUAUGUUGUUGUAUGUAAACCAUUAUCAGUUUAAAGCUAUAACUUUUGAACUGUAUGGACAAAAUACUUAAAUUGUUUAUUAAAAUAUAACAUUACAAGAUCAACUUCAAUAUAAAUUUUAGUUCCACUUAAAAAACCCAAAGAGUAUUUUAUGAAUAGUAAAAAGUGAUAAAUUGUAGUGCUAAAUACAAAAACUAAAUUGUAAUAUCAAUUCAUUAAAAUAUUUCCUAAAGAUAUUUUUAUAAUUGUUAAAAGUUUUGAAAUAAGUAGCUUAAAAUAACUUACAAUAACAAUAGUUAAAAAUAACUCUAUGUAAAUGAUUAUAUUGUUAAAUAAAAAAAUUGUUUGAUGUUUUAAAUACUUACACUGAUAGAAAUUAAAACAUUAACCAAAUAAAUUUUAAAAAUGAAUUAACAAUAACAACAACUAUAAAUAUUAUUAAACCAUAUAUUAUAUUUAAUUUUAUUCAUGAGUAACCCGUAGGGAGAGGUCAUUCAAAAGAUUGAGAUUAUGCAGUUUUAAUAGAUGUAUAUAUUAUCAUAUAAUUCAAAAUAAUCAAUAUACUAUAUCAACUUAGUAUACAAAUUAUUAUAUCAAAUUUAACAACGACAUUAUUGUUAUAUUAAAAAAAAAACAUAUAUUUGUAAAGAUUUCAACUAUAUAGAUGUUUCUGCACAACGCGCGGACAUUCGUCUAGUAUACCAUGUGCAUUCAUAUAGNACUUUAGUAAAAUUAUAUAAUUAUUUAAUUAAUAAAAAUAGAUACUAAAUAAUUUCCAUAAUUGUAUGUAUAUUAAAUGAUAUCCAUAAUUAUAAUUCUCUUUUUAUGAAAACUAAUUAAAUUCGUGAUUAAUGUCAGCAAUAACAUUCUUUCAGAAUGAAUUCGCAUCUAGGUUUAUAUGUAUCAGUUCGUGUUUUGUUUAGCACACAUUCACUUAAAAUUAAAUAAAAUUGCAUGGAAUAAGAAGAACAAGUGUGUAUUCUACUAUAAUACACUCUCAUUUUUCUAGACAUGAAUUCAUUCUGAAAUAAUAUUAUUGUUGACAUUAAUAACGAAUUAAAUUAGUUUCCAUAAAAAAAUAAUUAUAACUAUGGAUAUCGUUUAAUAUACAUAUAAUUAUGGAAAUCAUUUAAUAUCUAUGUUUAUUUAGUUAAAGAAUAAUUUAAUUUUUACUAAAUUCUUAUUGGUGUAUUCUAGAACACAAUUAAUGUGGAUUUGGAAUUAAUUAUAAUUUAUAAUUUAUCCAUUUGUGUAAAGGAACCUGACAAGUUGGAGGCCCCAAACUCGUCGAGUAGAUAUGGAUUUGGAACCGGGUUACGAAGUCUACUUGACGAGUUGAGAGCCCCAAAUCGACGAUUAGGACUGGCAUAAUGAAACCCUAAUUUUAAGGGUUUUGCACCAAAUUUAAACACCUUAACCCCAUAAACUGGCCUCAUUUAGAGCCUCCAUCAUUCCAAAACCUUGCCACGAAACCCUAAUAGACUUUUGAGAGUUUUGAGCCAUUUCUUUGCCUUCAUUACGAUUUUGAAGAAGGGGAUACAUGAAGAAAGAGCAAUGACGUGUAAGAGGACCAGAAUUGAGCUUCAUUUUUGAUUCGUUUGAGGUAUAAAGUUGUUACCUUGGCUUUCUAUUACU
rnacentral:lncRNA from 1 species